rnacentral:tRNA from 1 species
GCCUGGCUGGCUCAGUCGGUGAAGCGUGUGACUCUUGAUCUUGAGGCUGUGAGUUCGAGCCCCACGUUGGGUG